UCCGUAGGUGUUAGCCUUCUGUAUUAUUGAAAAUGGUCGUUCAUGGCUAUUUUCGACAAAAAUGGGGGUUGUGUGGCCAUUGAUCAUCGACCAGACGCUCAUACACCUCACCCCACAUAUGUUUCCUUGUCGUAGAUCACAUUCUUGGAUUUCUGGUGGAGACCAUUUCUUGGUCAAAAAUCCGUAGGUCUUAGCCUCUAAUAUUAUUGAAAAUGGUCGCUCAUGGCUAUUUUCAUAAAAAAUGGGGGUUGUGUGGCCAUUUAUCAUCGACUAGAGGCUCAUAAAUCUCACCCCACAUAUGUUUCCUUGCCAUAGAUCACAUUCUUGGAUUUCUGGUGGAGACCAUUUCUUGGUCAAAAAUCCGUAGGUGUUAGCCUUCGGUAUUAUUGUAAAUGGUCAUUCAUGGCUAUUUUCGGCAAAAUGGACCAUUUCUUGGUCAAAAAUCCGUAGGUGUUAGCCUUCGGUAUUAUUGAAAAUGGUCGUUCAUGGCUAUUUUGACAAAAAUGGGGGUUGUGUGGCCAUUGAUCAUCGACUAGAGGCUCAUACACCUCACCCCACAUAUGUUUCCUUGCCAUAGAUCACAUUCUUGGAUUUCUGGUGGAGACCAUUUCUUGGUCAAAAAUCCGUAGGUGUUAGCCUUCGGUAUUAUUGUAAAUGGUCAUUCAUGGCUAUUUUCGGCAAAAUGGGGGUUCUGUGGCCAUUGAUCAUCGACCAGAGGCUCGUACACCUCACCCCACAUAUGUUUCCUUGCCAUAGAUCACAUUCUUGGAUUUCUGGUGGAGACCAUUUCUUGGUCAAAAAUCCGUAGGUGUUAGCCUUUGGUAUUUUUGAAAAUGGUCGUUCAUGGCUAUUUUCGGCAAAAUGGGGGUUGUGCGGCCAUUGAUCGUCGACUAGAGGCUCAUACACCUCACCCCACAUAUGUUUCCUUGCCAUAGAUCACAUUCUUGGAUUUAUGGUGGAGACCAUUUCUUGGUCAAAAAUUUGUAGGUGUUAGCCUUCAGUGUCAUUGAAAAUGGUCGUUCAUGGCUAUUUUCGACAAAAAUUAGGGUUGUGUGGCCAUUGAUCGUCGACCAGAGGCUCAUACACCUCACCCCACAUAUGUUUCCUUGCCAUAGAUCACAUUCUUGGAUUUCUGGUGGAGACCAUUUCUUGGUCAAAAAUCCGUAGGUGUUAGCCUUCGGUAUUAUUGAAAAUGGUCGUUCAUGGCUAUUUUCGACAAAAAUGGGGGUUGUGUGGCCAUUGAUCAUCGACCAGAGGCUCAUACACCUCACCCCACAUAUGUUUCCUUGCCAUAGAUCACAUUCUUGGAUUUCUGGUGGAGACCAUUUCUUGGUCAAAAAUUCGUAGGUCUUAGCCUUCGGUAUUAUUGAAAAUGGUCAUUCAUGGCUAUUUUCGGCAAAAUGGGGGUUGUGUGGCCAUUGAUCAUCGACCAUAGGCUCAUACACCUCACCCCACAUAUGUUUCCUUGCCAUAGAUCACAUUCUUGGAUUUCUGGUGGAGACCAUUUCUUGGUCAAAAAUCCGUAGGUGUUAGCCUUCGGUAUUAUUGUAAAUGGUCAUUCAUGGCUAUUUUCGACAAAAAUGGGGGUUGUGUGGCCAUUAAUCAUCGACCAGAGGCUCAUAAAAAAUGGGGGUUGUGUGGCCAUUUAUCAUCGACUAGAGGCUCAUAAACCUCACCCCACAUAUGUUUCCUUGCCAUAGAUCACAUUCUUGGAUUUCUGGUGGAGACCAUUUCUUGGACAAAAAUCCGUAGGUCUUAGCCUCUAGUAUUAUUGAAAAUGGUCGCUGUUAGCCUUCGGUAUUAUUGAAAAUGGUCAUUCAUGGCUAUUUUCGACAAAAAUGGGGGUUGUGUGGCCAUUGAUCAUCGACUAGAGGCUCAUACACCUCACUACACAUAUGUUUCCUUGCCAUAGAUCACAUUCUUGGAUUUCUGGUGGAGACCAUUUCUUGGUCUAAAAUCCGUAGGUGUUAGCCUCUAGUAUUAUUGAAAAUGGUCGCUCAUGGCUAUUUUCAAGGUCGCUCAUGGCUAUUUUCAUAAAAAAUGGGGGUUGUGUGGCCAUUUAUCAUCGACUAGAGGCUCAUAAACCUCACCCCACAUAUGUUUCCUUGCCAUAGAUUACAUUCUUGGAUUUCUGGUGGAAACCAUUUCUUGGUUAAAAACUCGUACGUGUUAGCCUUCGGUAUUAUUGAAAAUGGUCGUUCAUGGCUAUUUUCAAGGUCGCUCAUGGCUAUUUUCAAGGUCGCUCAUGGCUAUUUUCAUAAAAAAUGGGGGUUGUGUGGCCAUUGAUCGUCGACCAGAGGCUCAUACACCUCACCCCACAUAUGUUUCCUUGCCAUAGAUCACAUUCUUGGAUUUCUGGUGGAGACCAUUUCUUGGUCAAAAAUCCGAAUGUGUUAGCCUCCGGUAUUUUUGAAAAUGGUCAUUCAUGGCUAUUUUCGACAAAAAUGGGGGUUGUGUGGCCAUUGAUCAUCGACCAGACGCUCAUACACCUCACCCCACAUAUGUUUCCUUGCCAUAGAUCACAUUCUUGGAUUUAUGGUGGAGACCAUUUCUUGGUCAAAAAUCCGUAG
rnacentral:lncRNA from 1 species